rnacentral:rRNA from 1 species
UGGCUCAGGACGAACGCUGGCGGCGUGCUUAACACAUGCAAGUCGAACGGAAAGGCCCUUCGGGGUACUCGAGUGGCGAACGGGUGAGUAACACGUGGGUGAUCUGCCCUGCACUUUGGGAUAAGCCUGGGAAACUGGGUCUAAUACCGGAUAUGAUCAUGGCCUUCAUGGGUUGUGGUGGAAAGCUUUUGCGGUGUGGGAUGGGCCCGCGGCCUAUCAGCUUGUUGGUGGGGUAAUGGCCUACCAAGGCGACGACGGGUAGCCGGCCUGAGAGGGUGUCCGGCCACACUGGGACUGAGAUACGGCCCAGACUCCUACGGGAGGCAGCAGUGGGGAAUAUUGCACAAUGGGCGCAAGCCUGAUGCAGCGACGCCGCGUGAGGGAUGACGGCCUUCGGGUUGUAAACCUCUUUCAGUAGGGACGAAGCGCAAGUGACGGUACCUAUAGAAGAAGGACCGGCCAACUACGUGCCAGCAGCCGCGGUAAUACGUAGGGUCCGAGCGUUGUCCGGAAUUACUGGGCGUAAAGAGCUCGUAGGUGGUUUGUCGCGUUGUUCGUGAAAACUCACAGCUUAACUGUGGGCGUGCGGGCGAUACGGGCAGACUUGAGUACUGCAGGGGAGACUGGAAUUCCUGGUGUAGCGGUGGAAUGCGCAGAUAUCAGGAGGAACACCGGUGGCGAAGGCGGGUCUCUGGGCAGUAACUGACGCUGAGGAGCGAAAGCGUGGGGAGCGAACAGGAUUAGAUACCCUGGUAGUCCACGCCGUAAACGGUGGGUACUAGGUGUGGGUUUCCUUCCUUGGGAUCCGUGCCGUAGCUAACGCAUUAAGUACCCCGCCUGGGGAGUACGGCCGCAAGGCUAAAACUCAAAGAAAUUGACGGGGGCCCGCACAAGCGGCGGAGCAUGUGGAUUAAUUCGAUGCAACGCGAAGAACCUUACCUGGGUUUGACAUGCACAGGACGCCGGCAGAGAUGUCGGUUCCCUUGUGGCCUGUGUGCAGGUGGUGCAUGGCUGUCGUCAGCUCGUGUCGUGAGAUGUUGGGUUAAGUCCCGCAACGAGCGCAACCCUUAUCUUAUGUUGCCAGCGCGUUAUGGCGGGGACUCGUGAGAGACUGCCGGGGUCAACUCGGAGGAAGGUGGGGAUGACGUCAAGUCAUCAUGCCCCUUAUGUCCAGGGCUUCACACAUGCUACAAUGGCCGGUACAAAGGGCUGCGAUGCCGUGAGGUGGAGCGAAUCCUUUCAAAGCCGGUCUCAGUUCGGAUCGAGGUCUGCAACUCGACCCCGUGAAGUCGGAGUCGCUAGUAAUCGCAGAUCAGCAACGCUGCGGUGAAUACGUUCCCGGGCCUUGUACACACCGCCCGUCACGUCAUGAAA